rnacentral:piRNA from 1 species
UAACCUCUUUAACGGGAUUUACAGGAUGAGC